rnacentral:miRNA from 1 species
AAAAAGUUUAUUCGGGUUUUU